GACGAACGCUGGCGGCGUGCCUAAUACAUGCAAGUAGGACGCAGUUGCGAACGGGUGAGUAACGCGUAGGUAACUACCUAUUAGUGGGGGUUAACCACUGGUAACGAUAGCUCAUACCGCAUACUAGUAGAAGGCCCUUCGUUGUAUUAGCUAGUAGGGUUGGUAAUGGCCUACCUAGGCAACGAUACAUAGCCGAGCUGAGUGGGUGAUGCGACACACUGGGACUGAGACACGGCACAGACUCCUACGGGAAGCAGAAGUAGGGGAUAUUCGGCAAAGGGGGGAACCCUGACCGAGCAAAGCCGCGGGAGUGAAGAAGGUUUUCUGGUCGUAAAGGGCUGUUGUAAAGGAAGCGGUACUUAACCAGAAAGGGACGGCUAACUACGUGCCAGCAGCCCCGGUAAUAC
rnacentral:rRNA from 1 species